rnacentral:rRNA from 1 species
UACAGAGGUCUCAGGCGUUGUUCGGAAUCACUGGGCGUAAAGGGUGUGUAGGCGGCGUGGAAAGUCAGGUGUGAAAUCUCGGGGCUCAACUCCGAAACUGCACUUGAUACUGUGGUGCUCGAGUACUGGAGAGGAGAUUGGAAUUUACGGUGUAGCAGUGAAAUGCGUAGAUAUCGUAAGGAAGACCAGUGGCGAAGGCGAAUCUCUGGACAGUUACUGACACUGAGGCACGAAGGCCAGGGGAGCAAACGGG